rnacentral:rRNA from 1 species
AGAGUUUGAUGGGUAAAGGCCUACCAAGGCGACGAUCAGUAGCGGGUCUGAGAGGAUGAUCCGCCACACUGGAACUGAGACACAGUCCAGACUCCUACGGGAGGCAGCAGUGGGGAAUUUUGGACAAUGGGGGCAACCCUGAUCCAGCCAUUCCGCGUGAGUGAAGAAGGCCUUCGGGUUGUAAAGCUCUUUCAGCUGGAACGAAACGGUACGCUCUAACAUAGCGUGCUAAUGACGGUACCAGCAGAAGAAGCACCGGCUAACUACGUGCCAGCAGCCGCGGUAAUACGUAGGGUGCGAGCGUUAAUCGGAAUUACUGGGCGUAAAGCGUGCGCUGGCGGAUUGUUAAGCAAGACGUGAAAUCCCCGGGCUUAACCUGGGAAUGGCGUUUUGAACUGGCAGUCUAGAGUGUGUCAGAGGGGGGUAGAAUUCCACGUGUAGCAGUGAAAUGCGUAGAGAUGUGGAGGAAUACCAAUGGCGAAGGCAGCCC